GAAUUUAAGCAUAUUAGUCAGCGGAGGAAAAGAAACUAACCAGGAUUCCCUCAGUAACGGCGAGUGAACAGGGAAGAGCCCAGCGCCGAAUCC
rnacentral:rRNA from 1 species